rnacentral:lncRNA from 1 species
GGAGCUCAAAGCAAGGUCCCUGCCAUGGAUUCAGGCAUUGCUGAGAGUAUCCCAGGGGUCCCUGUCCCUGCUAGACAUGGAGCUCUCUAAUGGGCUGUAAUUGGGUGAUAAAAGUGGUGCUCCAAGUGCCAAAGAAGUGUGGGGUUGGGAUUAAGAAAUGAGCAGUGAGGGUCCAAUUGGCUGUUUGCUCUGGAAUGUGACUGUAAGAGCUGCAGGAGUGCAAGGUGUGUGUUCCAGUCCCCAGCAUUUGGUUUGCACAUGUCCUGGUCAGACACAGGUCCAACUUGCUCCGUCCUUAACACAAGAGAGGGAGAAUGAAGGACUGGCAGUGUUAAGGUGAUUGGUGUGACAGGGGUUAAACUGGGAAAACAUUGGGUAAUUCCUCAGUUUCUCUAUUUGCCAAACUCGCCCAAACCUGUACUAGGAAGAGAUUGAGUGGAAAAGUUGAGGCAGAAAUGCAAGUGAAAACUGGGGAUAUUGAAACUGUAAUUGCUGUAACUAAAUGUGUCCAAGCAGCAGCUCUUGUUGUGCAGGGAAUAACUCCUGUCAGCAGCAAGGCCCCGACUGAAGUGGCAGCUGCAGUUGUUCCUGUGGUGUGGGCCAGUGGAGUUGCAGGAGAGUGGAAGAGGGCAGAACCUGACGUGAAUGCAAGAACCUGCCAAGAAAACCAAUGGCCAAGAUGAUUGAUGAGUGCAGGACCUGAGAGAAGCACCUUGAAUGACAACCUGGAGGAGUUUCCAGUAUUGGAUUUAAAAGAUGGCCUUUGCCUCUCCUUGAGCAAGGAAAGCCAAGAAAGCUUUGCUUUGGAGGAGAAAAUGGGGCAAGCAGGCAGGAAGAAGAGAAGCCCCGUGACUCCUCCCUGAGCCCCAGACAGCCCAUGAACUGCCUUGCUGGCAAUGGUGGGACGGGCUGGACUCUGCAUUGCUCCCUCGGGAUGUGUGGCUCUCCCCUCAGGAACUGCAGGAACUCCUGGUGCCGCCUGGGCCGAUGGAUUGGACGCCCCAGCCCCUCCGUUCCUGCCCAGCCACUGGGUCCGUGUCCAGUGGUGGCACUGCCAGCCCUGCAGUGGGAUGUAGCCUGGAAAGUGCACAGAGCUGAGCCAAGGGAUUGAAAGGUACCAACCAAGGGAGGUGAAGAAAGAAGGAAGAAGGGAAGUGAGGCAGCAGCCAAGCAGCACCAAGUGCUGUGUAAGCAGGUGAGUUGUGUUGAGGUACCUAAGGCAGGCACUGAGGACUUGGAGGGCUCCAGACAGAGCAGAGCUGCGAAGGCCCUCGGUGAAGCCCCUUGGAAACCUUCCAAGGGUAGGUGUGUAUGGUAGUAAGUGUUGGAAAAUGCCCUGAAUGUGGAAUAGGAAUGUAGAGAACAAAAGUAAAUCCUCCUGUAAUGCUGCCAUAUCAGCUGCAGUGGAGACACCUGUGUGUUCCCUUUGGGAGCUGAUUGCCAGGGCACCUGGUGGGGUGGAAUGAUUCAAGAGCAUAGGAAUAAAAGGUUGCCUGGCUUCUAAACCUCUCCA